GAAAUGCGAUAAGUAAUGUGAAUUGCAGAAUUCAGUGAAUCAUCGAAUCUUUGAACGCACCUUGCGCUCCUUGGUAUUCCUUGGAGCAUGCCUGUUUGAGUAUCAUGAAAUCUUCAAAGUAAAUCUUUUGUUAACUCAAUUGGUUUCUACUUUGGUAUUGGAGGUCUUUGCAGCUUCACACCUGCUCCUCUUUGUUCAUUAGCUGGAUCUCAGUGUUAUGCUUGGUUCCACUCGGCGUGAUAAGUUAUCUAUCGCUGAGGACACUGUAAAAGGUGGCCAAGGUAAAUGCAGAUGAACCGCUUCUAAUAGUCCAUUGACUUGGACAAUACUUUUAUGAUCUGAUCUCACAUCAGCUUGGACUACCCGCUGAACUUAAGC
rnacentral:misc_RNA from 1 species